AAUCCAUAGGUUAAUGAGGCGAACCGGGGGAACUGAAACAUCUAAGUACCCCGAGGAAAAGAAAUCAACCGAGAUUCCCCCAGUAGCGGCGAGCGAACGGGGAGGAGCCCAGAGCCUGAAUCAGCAUGUGUGUUAGUGGAAGCGUCUGGAAAGGCGCGCGAUACAGGGUGACAGCCCCGUACACAAAAGCGCAUGUGCUGUGAGCUCGAUGAGUAGGGCGGGACACGUGGUAUCCUGUCUGAAUAUGGGGGGACCAUCCUCCAAGGCUAAAUACUCCUGACUGACCGAUAGUGAACCAGUACCGUGAGGGAAAGGCGAAAAGAACCCCGGCGAGGGGAGUGAAAAAGAACCUGAAACCGUGUACGUACAAGCAGUGGGAGCCCCACCACUAAGCCAGUGGUGAACUCCACAUACGCAUCCUUUGCUGAGGAUACGGUUAACGGAGCGAAAGCGACGUUCAACCGCAAAACAAGCAGAGGGGGCUUAGUGGUGGGGUGACUGCGUACCUUUUGUAUAAUGGGUCAGCGACUUAUAUUCUGUAGCAAGGUUAACCG
rnacentral:rRNA from 2 species